GAACUGAUAAGCGCUGAAAGCAUCUAAGCGCGAAGCAGGCCUCGAGAUGAGUUCUCACUAGACUUUUAAAGUCUCUGAAGGGCCGUUGAAGACUACAACGUUGAUAGGCAGGAUGUGGAAGUGGUGCGAGCCAUUAAGCUAACCUGUACUAAUUACCCGUGAGGCUUAACCAUACAACGCCAAACGCGUUU
rnacentral:rRNA from 1 species